rnacentral:rRNA from 1 species
UUGGUGUGAUUGCAGAUCCGUGACCAUCGAGUCUUUGAACGCAAGUUGCGCCCGAAGCCAUUAGGCUGAGGGCACGCCUGCCUGGGUGUCACACAUCGUUACCCCCAAAGCAAACGCCUCACGUGCGUGCGCAGGGUGGAAGCUGACCUCCCGCGGGCAACGUCCCGCGGCUGGUUGAAAAUCGAGUUCGUGGCCGGGUGCGCCGCGAUAAAUGGUGGAUGAGCGACGCUCGAGACCAAUCGCGCGCGACCCCGUCAGCGUCGGACUCCUUGACCCUACACGCGUCCGCGGACGCUCCGAACGAGACCUCAGUCAGGCG